rnacentral:rRNA from 1 species
UCGCCAGACUCCUACGGGAGGCAGCAGUGGGGAAUAUUGGGCAAUGGGGGAAACCCUGACCCAGCGACGCCGCGUGAGGGAAGAAGGUUUUCGGAUUGUAAACCUCUGUCCUUGGUGACGAUAAUGACGGUAGCCAAGGAGGAAGCCACGGCUAACUACGUGCCAGCAGCCGCGGUAAUACGUAGGGAGCAAGCGUUGUCCGGAAUUACUGGGCGUAAAGGGCGCGUAGGUGGGCGCUUAAGUCAGGUGUGAAAACUCCGGGCUCAACCUGGAGACUGCACUUGAAACUGGGUGUCUUGAGGGCAGGAGAGGAAAGUGGAAUUCCUAGUGUAGCGGUGAAAUGCGUAGAUAUUAGGAGGAACACCAGUGGCGAAGGCGACUUUCUGGACUGUACCUGACGCUGAGGCGCGAAAGCGUGGGUAGCGAACGGGAUUAGAUACCCGAGUA